GACGAACGCUGGCGGCGUGCUUAACACAUGCAAGUCGAACGGAAAGGCCCUGCUUUUGUGGGGUGCUCGAGUGGCGAACGGGUGAGUAACACGUGAGUAACCUGCCCUUGACUUUAGGAUAACUUCAGGAAACUGGGGCUAAUACCGGAUAGGAGCUCCUGCUGCAUGGUGGGGGUUGGAAAGUUUCGGCGGUUGGGGAUGGACUCGCGGCUUAUCAGCUUGUUGGUGGGGUAGUGGCUUACCAAGGCUUUGACGGGUAGCCGGCCUGAGAGGGUGACCGGCCACAUUGGGACUGGGAUACGGCCCAGACUCCAACGGGAGGCAGCAGUGGGGAAUAGUGCACAAUGGGCGGAAGCCUGAUGCAGCAACGCCGCGUGGGGGAUGACGGCCUUCGGGUUGUAAACCGCUUUCGCCUGUGACGAAGCGUGAGGGACGGGAAUGGGGAAAGAAGCACCGGCUAACUACGU
rnacentral:rRNA from 1 species